GAAUCUGUCAAUGCGUAUCCAGCGCCAUGACGACCCCCACGGUCACUCACACGCUGUUUAGACGUCUCAUGUCAUAACACAGUUUGCUCACACUGCUGUUGAGCGCUUUUUUUUUUUUUUUAACUUCACUUUUGCAAUUUUUUUUUACAAACGAUAUUUGAAAAGUAGGACAAAAGCCUUUUUUGGACCUGCAGCCAAAGAACACAAACACUCUGCAAGCUUGGACACAUAAGGCAUCCAUGCGGUACCGUGUCCCCCAGCGAGCGCUGAGAUCACACACUCAGAGUCACUCAGGUGUUUCAGAGCGCUGCUCUCCACAUUAACACUUCACUCUGAAACACACCGACCACACAGCCAACCAUUCACACGCCUACUCGAGAGCUUCACAAGAGAGCUUCACACGGCGCGUGCUGCGUGGAAUGCAAACAGCUGGACGUGUAGUAGACGUCCGCUGCCAGAUGCUCCGCAUUCCAACUUCAGUCAGGAGCAGAAAAGCGUAAAAACGUGGGAAUGUAGGCGACAUUCCGGGAUUUAACAUCUUCACCCUGGUUGAUCUACUGAUGAGUUUGUUGAUACUGCAGGAUGAAGCCAAAGACAAAUGUCCACUCUGUGCACAUAAAAACGAACUAACUACUGAAGAACAAGAUUCAUAAACGUGUUAUUUUUUUAUCAUCCGAAUUCUUGCUUGCAUUCCAUCACCUUCAACAGCUUCAUUUAUUUUGGCCUGAAGAUCAGGUUCUGGACAGAAACAUGAGACGAGGAGCAGAACAUGGGUCAGAUGUGUAGCAGCUCCAAGCAGAAGAAGAAUCUCGAUGAACUGAUGAAAUAUUAUGAAGUUUUUAUUUUAUAUUAUUAAUUUUUAAGAUGUUAUUGGUAACAUAAAAGAAAUCUGGAGUUGAUUUUGGAGCGAAAGUAAUAAAUGACUGCAUCAUUAGAAAUUUUUGUAAACGUUCAGAUGUCCAGAUGUGGUAGGUUUUGGUGACGUUCAGCCUAAAGC